rnacentral:rRNA from 1 species
CUGCAACUCGCCUGCACGAAGCCGGAGUUGCUAGUAAUCGCGGAUCAGAAUGCCGCGGUGAAUGCGUUCCCGGGUCUUGUACACACCGCCCGUCACACCAUGGAAGUUGGGGGUGCCCAAAGCCGGCAGGGAAAUAUGCUGUCUAAGGCAAAACCAAUGACUGGGGUGAAGUCGUAACAAGGUAAC